GCCUUCGUGGUGUAAUGGUCUGCACGCUCGGCGCGUGUUCGAGAGGUUCGUGGUUCGAGUCCUGGCGAGGGUA
rfam:Stegodyphus mimosarum contig111077, whole genome shotgun sequence.